GACGUAGGAGGCGAGCGUUGUCCGGAUUCAUUGGGCGUAAAGAGCACGCAGGCGGUUUGGCAAGUCGGAUGUGAAAACCCGGAGCUCAACUCCGGACCUGCAUCCGAAACUGCCCGACUAGAGGUAGGUAGGGGAGAUCGGAAUUCCUGGUGUAGCGGUGAAAUGCGCAGAUAUCAGGAAGAACACCUAUGGCGAAAGCAGCUCUCUGGGACGGUACUGACGCUGAGACGCGAAAGCGUGGGGAGCGAACAGG
rnacentral:rRNA from 1 species